rnacentral:pre_miRNA from 1 species
UACGUACUUCCUCCGUCCGCAAAUACUUGUCAUUGAAAUGGAUGUAUCUAGAUGUAUUUUAGUUGUAGAUACAUCCAUUUUCAUCCAUUUUGAUGACAAGUAUUUCCGGACGGAGGGAGUACAUA